AUUGAACGCUGGCGGCAUGCCUUACACAUGCAAGUCGAACGGUAACAGGUCUUCGGAUGCUGACGAGUGGCGAACGGGUGAGUAAUACAUCGGAACGUGCCCGAUCGUGGGGGAUAACGAGGCGAAAGCUUUGCUAAUACCGCAUACGAUCUACGGAUGAAAGCGGGGGAUCUUCGGACCUCGCGCGGACGGAGCGGCCGAUGGCAGAUUAGGUAGUUGGUGGGAUAAAAGCUUACCAAGCCGACGAUCUGUAGCUGGUCUGAGAGGAUGAUCAGCCACACUGGGACUGAGACACGGCCCAGACUCCUACGGGAGGCAGCAGUGGGGAAUUUUGGACAAUGGGCGGAAGCCUGAUCCAGCCAUGCCGCGUGCAGGAUGAAGGCCUUUGGGUUGUAAACUGCUUUUGUACGGAACGAAAAGCCUCUUUCUAAUAAAGAGGGGUCAUGACGGUACCGUAAGAAUAAGCACCGGCUAACUACGUG
rnacentral:rRNA from 1 species